AAGCGCGCGUAGGUGGUUUGUUAAGUUGGAUGUGAAAGCCCCGGGCUCAACCUGGGAACUGCAUCCAAAACUGGCAAGCUAGAGUAUGGUAGAGGGGUGGUGGAAUUUCCUGUGUAGCGGUGAAAUGCGUAGAUAUAGGAAGGAACACCAGUGGCGAAGGCGACCACCUGGACUGAUACUGACACUGAGGUGCGAAAGCGUGGGGAGCAAACAGGAUUAGAUACCCGGGU
rnacentral:rRNA from 1 species